rnacentral:tRNA from 1 species
GGAAGAGUGUCGCUCCCGGGUGGGACGUCCGGACUUCAAAUCCGGGAAUGGCUGUCGUACAGUCCUUGGUGGGUUCGACUCCCAUACUCUUCCGCCA